rnacentral:lncRNA from 1 species
AUUCAAGAUGGACGGCAGGGAGUGUGGAAGGAGAAAGGGGGCGAGGGGGGAAGAGCGAGAUCGGCAGAGGAGAGGGUCUCCGCGGCCCACCGGCCUCGCAACCUCGGUCCCGGCCGGCGGGUGGCGGGGCGGCCGCUGGGGAUCCAAGCCCGGCCCGGGAGAGGGGCUGGCGGGGUGCGAGAGGGCGUGAGCGAGGGGGAGCGAGGCCAGGGAGGGGAGCCAAGAGGGAGGGAAGGGCAGAGAAAGAGCCCGGGAAGAAGGAGGUGGCAGGCAGAGGAUCCUAACGAAGAGCAAUGUGUAGGUAUCGAGAGCUUCCCGAAGGGUAACGACACCGAUUUUCGGUUUUAUUCUCUCUUGGGGAAGGGAGGGGGACGGUCUGGGCUCUUUCUCUCGUCUUCCUUUUUCCCUCCUCAUUCUCCACUCGUGGGCAUCUUUUCUAUUUUUUCCUUUGGAAACACUGUAACUGGGAAGCACCAGGCGUGUCUUUCUGAGGUGGCCUCACUGUCAUUUUCCAGUGGGGGGCGUGGUGGGGUAGGGAUGGGGGGCUCCGCUGGGCACGGCCGAGCUGGGCCAUCUGUCUCCACCUGGGUUGUGUGCGAGGGCGUGGAGUGUUCCGAGGGGGACCGGGGGCCGAAGGGCUGGAGCAGGGCAGGGAGUUCUGCACCUCCAGAAGUUGUAGGGUGAGCCAGGGGCGGUGUGGGGGUGUGAGGCUGGUUUUCGAGCUGAUAGUUGUGGGGUGUUGAGGGGUGCGGGGAUGUGUGUGUGUGGGGGGCGUGCGCUCACACUCCAGUUCUUGUUGUUUGGGUGUGUAAUGAGGGCUGAGUUGUGCAGCAAGUAUGGCUGAGAGUUUGUGUGUGUGUGUGUGUGUGUGUGUGGUGUGUACGUGCGCCUGUGUGGUCCAGCCUCGAGGUGUGUGUGUUCGGGGGGAGCACAGUUGGGUGUUGAAGGAGAGCGCCCCUCACCCCCCACUUCCCAGCUGCCUCUCUCAUCCCAUUCACAGAACAUGGCUUUCAGGACCCUCCUGGUCUCCUCCUCCCGUCGCCAUGGCUGCGAGGAGGGGGUGGGAGGAGACAGUUGGGGCCAGCCCCCUGCCCCUGCUGCUCCAGCUAACCCCCCACCUGCCCUUUCUCUCCCUUUCACAGGCUGGGCCCCAUCCCCUGCUGCUCUGGGGGCAGGGGCCGGAAGAUGGUGGCCAAUGAGGAGGGGGAGAGGAGAGAACUUGAGCCGGGGCCUCCCCUCCCCCAUUUCCUCCUCGGUCUCUACACUCGCUUCUGGAAGGAGCUGGGGGCUGGCUCCUGGGCCCAAGGUGGGGGAGGGGUCCUGCUGGCUGGUGAGUCGCUGGGCCUGCUCCUCAGGAAUGAGUUGGGUGUGUGAGAGCUGAGGGGCUCUUGGCCCUUUCUCCCUGCACUCCCUAAGGAGAGACCUGGAAACUUCUUGGGGAAGAAUCUUCCCCUGGCCUCCCUGAAGCUUGCUGUGCAGCCUUAUCUUUGCCCCUCUGCCCCCUGUUGGUGUGAUCCAGUUCCCAGCUGGGCCUGGUUUGCCCAACCCCAGAGCAGAGAGGUCACUGACCCUCGAGGGGUCUUGGUUUCCGCCCAUUAAAACUGUAGGGCAGGGCCCCAUGUUUGCAGAUUACGGGAACAAACUCUGCCGGGGAGAGCGGGAGGGAACGUCUCCUGCUUCCUGAGGGGGUGGGACGAGGCUAGAGGGAAGCCCAGAGGAAGAGCUCCCAACUGGAAUUCUGUCCUCUAUUCCUUACGGUGGCUGUGGAUUAGGGAAGAAGGCAUCUCCCCUUCGUUGAUCGGGGCACUGGAGGAAUCACCCUCCAGCCUCUGUUUCUCUGGGCUGCCCAAAGUUCACUGGGUCAGAACUGGAGCUGGGCUCCGGGGCUGUGGCCCUAGCUGGAAUGUGCCACAAUAGAGCCUGCCUGGGUCUGAGCCUCCAGAUAUCCAGGUGUCCUUCCAGGGCAGCUUUCUGGCUUUGGGUGUUAAUCUUCCGGGGACUGUUUGUCCUGUAUUUAAGCCCCCUUAGGGUUGGAUAGGAUGGGGAAGUGCUAGGAUGAGCUUGAAGACUCCCCAACCAAGGGUCCCUGGAUAAGACAGGAAAUAACUCAGAUGUGAAUCCCACUGCCAGUGAAAGCCUAUCCCUAACUCUCAGUAACUGUGAGCGAAUCACCCUCACCAUUUUAAUGCUGAAUCUGCAAAGUGCUUUCAGGACCUCCAAAAGGAGAUGCAGGGGUGGGGCUUCACCAGCAGCUUUCACCUCCCCGCCUGGAAGCUUCUCUCUACUGCGUGGGGAGCUGUGACUACAGGCUCCCACCUCUCUGGUCCUGGAAGGUCAUCUGAGAGUGUUGCCUUGAGGCCUAGAGCUCUGCUUUAUCUAAAUUUAAAAGGAGAUGGAAACUUAGAGAAGAGUAGAGGGUUCUGUAGUCUUGGGCAGCAAGCUCCUCUCUAGAAGGUAAGCUAGCGGAAAUGCAAAUCCAGAUGAACACAGCCUCAUACGAGUGACCUCCAGACUUUGGGGAUUGCUAAUAGCCGUUUUCUUUGAGGACUGAGCAUCAAGCCCGAAGUAUCCCUGCAGCUGCUUUAGUGGGUCCUGUCCUCCCAUGCCAAAACCUCCAAGAAAAAGGUGGUCUCUGUGCUGGGGGUCAGGGGGUUGGUGAAGAAGGCGGCAAAAGGAAGAGUGGUGAAAAAAUAGAAUGAACACUAAGAAUGGAAUAAAAGGGAAAAAAGCUGUAUUGAAGCAAAGAAGGGGCAGAGGGAGCCCGUGAGCUGAGUGGGCCAGGGACUGGGAGAAGGAGUGAGGAGGCAGGGCCGGCAUGCCUCUGCUGCUGGCCAGAGCUCUUUUCACAUUGUGCUACUGUCUGCACCUGUCACUAGCAGUGCAAUGUUAAAAGGGCAUUGGCCGUGUAGUGCUACCCAGCGCUGGCUGCCUCCUCAGCAUUGCAAUUCCUCUCCCAUCUGGGCACCAGUCAGCUACCCUGGUGGGAAUCUGGGUAGCCUCACUUGUUAGUUAUACUAAUAGCUCUCAUUUAUGGAACUACUUCUGUAUGCAGUGCUUGUGAUAGACACUGCCUCCGUUACUGUGAAACCUAAUAACUUCUGGGAGGUAACAGCCCCAUUUUAUGGAUGAAAAACUGAGGGUCAGAAAGGUUUAAACAGUUUGGCUAAGAUUGUGUAGCUCUUAGGUUGCAAAGCCUAGAUACAACCCUGUGUUAAGUCUUGACAGCUCACUCAUCUUUUUGUAGACCCAUCUGGAGAGAUCUGAAUAGGUUCUUCAAACUGGGAGAUUUCCUGAGCUGAGGGGUGGAAGGUUUUGAUGCCAUCUGCUGGUUGUAUGAGGAUAUCUUCCAAAGCCUCAAACCUUUAAGGACCAGAAGUGGUGGCAACUCCUUAGGCUAAGAAGGAUAAGCAUUCCCAGACUCAGCCCGGAAUGGAGAGUGAGUGGAAAAAGAUUAGGAGAAUCACUAUUAGGUACAGAGUAGGCCUCCUUGAGAAAAAAAGGAAUGCACCAGAAAGGAAAGGGGGUUAACUCGAGAGGAUUGCUCCCCAAAGAAAAGGACCUGUGUGCUGCUGGCAUCCCAUACCUACAGCUCCUUCCCUGGCUCAUGAGGCAUGGAAAGACCUCACUCCUUCCCUGAAUCCACUUACCUUUCUCAGCACCACUCCCUCUUGGUCACGGGGUGUUUGAUGGUAAUGCUGCUUGAGGGCACACCUGUCUGGGCAUCCAAGAUUUGGACAGCGUUGCCCAUGACUUAAUCUUAAAGAUUAAUAGGAUCCCUUGAAUCAACCCACAGAAUGAUUCUCCCAGGACCAAUUACAAGGAAAUUGAGGCCGGGUGCGGUGGCUCACGCCUGUAAUCCCAACACUUUGGGAGGCCGAGGCGGGCGGAUCACCUGAGGUCAGGGGUUCAAGACCAGCCUGGCCAACAUGGUGAAACCUCGUCUCUACUAAAAAUACAAAAAUUAGCCAGGCGUGGUAAUGCACGCCUGUAGUCUCAGCUACUUGGGUGGCUGAGGCAGGAGACUCUUGAAUGAAUCUUGGAGGCAGAAGUUGAAGUGAGCCGAGAUUGCGCCACUGCACUCCAGCCUGGGCAACAGAGCGAGACUCCAUCUCAAAAAAAAAAAAAAAGAAAGAAAAAUUUGAGAGCAAUGACUCAGCCAUUUACUUCUCUGUCUCCCACAGUGCCUAGUAGGCUUAAUUAAAACUUGUUAAAAUAAAUUGAAUGAGAGGAAUAUUUGGGGAGCUUCUUUAAGAAGGCAGCUAGUAUUCCUGGUCUUUUGGCUAAGAUCAAGUGAAGAAGGCAGCUAGUUUGUGCCUGGUUUUCAACAGCAGAGUUUGGGACUUGAGAAAUCUUCCCUAAACUUUGGUGCAAGAAAUGGGUCCAAGAGGAAUAGGGUUUUGAGGUCCUCUGCUGGACCCUGAGAGGGAUCUUGGCAUCAUGAGGCAUGUAGAAACUGAAAGAUGGGUCAGACUCCCCUGAGGCCUUAGUUGAGGGAUGUUGGACAUCUCUCCAUGGCUUGCCUUUUUCCCUUGCCCUUUUACUUCUGUGCCUUCCAGUUCUAGUCCUCCUUUCUCCUGCCCAGACAGCCUCUCCAUUCUGAUCACAACAACAGUAUUUGAGAUAGUACAGUUAGCUUUAUUUCCCUUUUUUUUUUUUUUUUAAGACAGAAUCUCACUGUCGCCCAGGCUGGAGUGCAGUGGCGCGAUCUCGGCCCACUGCAACCUCUGCCUACCAGGUUCAAGUGAUUCUCCUGCCUCAACCUCCUGAGUAGCUGGGAUUACAGGCGUGCACCACCAUGCCUGGCUAAUUUUUGUUGUCCAAGCUGGUCUGAAACUCUUGGCCUCAAGUGAUCGCCCACCUCAGCCUCCCAAAGUGCUGGGAUUACGGGUGUGAGCCACCGCACCCUACCAUAUGUUCCUUACUUUCUCCAGUCUAUUAAAACUUCUAUUUGAGCCUCUUGUCUGGGCACAAAUAGCCAUUUGAUACUGCCACUCCACUCUAAAAAACAAUAAUUUUCCCAUAUUUCCCUAAUACCAUUGGGAUUAAAUCUAGAUUCCCUAAAUAGUUUAUGGCUCCUGCUUCUCUUUCCUUUCAUGUCCUCUCACCCACUUUUUAAGGAGACAAAGUUUUGCUCCAGCCCAGGCUGGAGUGCAGUGGCGUGAUCAUGGCUCACUGCAACCUCAGCCUCCUGGGCUCAAGUGAUCCUCCUGCUCAGCCUCCUGAGUAGUCGAGACUACAGGUGCAGGUAUGGCUUUUUUUUUUUUGAGACAAGAUCUUGCUAUAUUGCCCAGGCUAACCUCAAAGUUUGGCCUCAAGCAAGCCUCCAGCCUUGGCUUCCUAAAGUGCUGGAAUUAAGGCGUGAGCCACUGCUUUCAGCCCACAAGCAACUUUUAUUUCCUUCAAUUAACUAAACUUAAGUUACUUGACACAUACUCUGUCUGAAAUACUUCCAUCACUUUUGCCUUUGCCUACCUAACUUCUUAUCUUUCAAAUGCCAUCGUAGUCAUCGCUUUUGUGAAGCCUUCCUUGACUCCUUACAUCUAAGCUGAGUUCCUUUCCUAUGAGCUCCCAAGCUUCCUCCACGUCCCUGCUUAGAUCCCUUAUUAUCAUCUUCUACUGGGAUUUCCUGGUUAUUGCAUCUCCUACUGGACAGAAAGCUCCAGGAAGUCAGGUCACAGCUGCCUUAUCUUCACCAUGUGCUUAACAUCUAGUGCUUAACACAAUGCCUGGCAAGUAAUAGAUGCUUUAUAAAUAUUUGGAAUAUUAAUGAAUGAAUCUGGAAAGAAUAUUAUAGCUUACCAAAAAAUGAUCUUUAUGAUGUAUAUGGUCUCCCCUGUAACUGUUGGGCACCCAACAACAGUAGGGAUUUCAUACCACUGCCAAUAAAAUGUCCCUUGGGUCAUAUGGUGGCAUUGAUGUUGCGAUUUUGAGCUUUUUUUUUUUUUUUUUUUUUUUUUUUUUGAGACGGAGUCUUGCCCUGUCGCCAGGCUGGAGUGCAGCAGCACGAUCUUGGCUCACUGCAACCUCUGCCUCCUGGGUUCAAGUGAUUCUCCUGCCUCAGCCUCCCAAGUAGCUGGGAUUACAGGCACGUGCCAUCAUGCCUGGCUAAUUUUUGAAUUUUUAGUAGAGACGGGGUUUUGCCAUGUUGGUCAGGCUGGUCUCAAACUCCUGACAUCAGGUGAUCCACCAGCCUCGGCCUCUCAAAGUGCUGGAACUGCAGGCGUGAGCCAUCGCGCCCGGCCUAAUUUUUGAGCUAUUUUGUUUCACUUCCCAUCAACUGCCAGAGCAGCACUUUGGCUGACUGAUUUUCCUUUUAGCCUUAAGUGUGCCCAUGAACUGACCAGAGCAUUACAGAACCAGGCUGAAAAGCCACGGGACUCAAGAAAAUCCUUAUUCUGAGAUGAGCCUCUUUCAGAGCCCGAUCCUGGAUCUAGGCAAAAUGGACUUACUGUCAGGGGUGCCAGCAGACACAAGCGGUUUUGGAUGCUCUCGCCGAGUAGCUAACAAAACCCACCCCUCUUACUAAGGCAAAACUUCACCUGAACGCUUAUUCCCCGGUAAAAGCUCAAGCAGUAGUCUUGCCAUAGACAGGGCAACUGCUGCCCCCUAGUGGUAUAAAGGGACAGGCCCGGGUGGGUGGGGGUGUGUGUGUGUGACGGGGACAGUUUAUGGGUACAUGCACAGGGAAAGAAAGUCAGAGGACAGGUUGCCUCAAGUUGCUUUUUCCCUUUUUAUUAAAAAUAGACUCAAGCACUUUAUGUAUCAUACAAAAGUUUCAUUCGCUGGUGGCAGCCACGGGAAAGACUGGCCCCGUAGCACUGAUUUUCCACCUCCCCUCCAGGGGACUGGGUCCCAGGAGCAGUGACUGGGCCUCAGAGAAAGCCCAUAAAGACUGCUUACUCUGGAAGCAGCCGACUAGGGGCUGUUCCGCGAGCAGCUGUCCCCACCCCACCCAAUGGCAAAAGUUAGAUACUCGAAAGUGCCUCUUCAGUGCCAAGAUAAACUAACAAGUGGAGUGAAAUGGAAAACCCUUUGAUUAUUUUACUAUUUCCCAGGGCCUGGGAUUUGAGUUUUCCCUGCACUCAAGUCCUUUUCCCUACAAAUAGGGGUAGGAAACUUCAUCCUCAGAGACUCUGGUCUCCUGGUGUCUGAGACCAGAAUUUCACUCCAACCCAAGUCUUUUCUCAUCUGCUGUUCUGUGGUCCAUGAUCUACUUGCCCUGUGACCCAAGGUUUGUCCUCUGUUCACUCAAAAAGAGGUGGAGCAAAAACGGAUUCCUCCCACAAUCCUCUCUGCCUGAGUCUAUGCCCUGCCAUCGCUUCCAUGUUCAGGAUCUUGGGAACAGAAAGACCCACAACCAUCCCUUUCCCCCAGUUCUGUCUCUCCCUGACUGCUGCCCACUCCUGAGCCUUAACACCCCUGGGGUACCCCCAGACCCCUGUUCUAAAGGGUGCCUGGUAGUGGAUAUGGUGGAGGCAGGGGAGGGGUUGGUUGGAGCCAGGUUUCCCCCAGGGGUGGGGCAGUACUCAUGCUGGUAUAGACUGCUUGGCAGGGCCGUGGGGAGGGAGGGGCAUGCGGAGGAAGGGCACACCCUGCCUGAGCCCCUCAGUCCCAGCCGUUGUCCUUCACCAUGUGUGACAUUUCAAUGAUGUAUUUCCCUUCCUUGUACUUCUGGCUCGUCUCAAAAGCUUGCUCCUGGUGAAGGAGAAAGCAGUGAUUGUAGGACAAAGCAGUUUCCUUCCAGGCCCCACUGUCACCUGUAUGGCCCCCACCCCAAGGGUCAUCCACCUAGCCCAACCCAGUGACUAGUUCUUUCUUUCCUCUUUGGACCAUGCAAGGAAGGACCUGACAUGGUCACUGGUGCUUGAAGGGCCAUGGGGACUGCCACUUUAGAGGGUGACCCUCUUCCUCAGGUACUUACAUAUUUCCAGCCCAGUGUGGUUUUGCAGCUCUCACAGAAAAUGUCAGCUACCGAGUGGAGCCCCGUGAGCAAGAGGCGCUGUUCAGCUGGCCCGCAACCCACGUUGACCCUGUCUCAGGAAACAGGAAGGACCCAGCACCCAGUGGGGUUGCACUGUCAGUCCAGUCCCCAGACAGCCCAAGGGAACUUCCAUCUGGAGAGAACUGGACAGCCCCUGCCUUUGAUAAUCCACCCCUUUAAGACUAGAGCCUGGGCCUUCUUUUUCCACCGUUAUGAUUUCAAUUCUCCCCCGGCUCCCCAUGUGAGAACUUCAGAUUGAGACCCUCUUUGCAAAAGGGGAGGCAAAGACUGAAGGCACAAGAUCACCUGAUGGAUUCCCCCCUUUCUCCACAGAGGAAAAUUACUCACUCACACACAAGCACAAGCACACGCACAAGGAAAGAGGUAGACUCACACGGAGUUAAACAGGUAGGCUCGGCCAUGGCUCCCUUGGAAGGACUGUGGAGACAUAGGACAGACAAUGACUACCAAGCAGCCUUCAGCCCCACUGCCUGAAUCCCCGCAGGGGUGUGUAGGAGAGAGGAAGAGCUUUGCUGCCUCACCCCUGGGUGAUGUUCAGGCUAGCCUGGUGCGCGAGAGGAGGGGAAUGGCAGGUCCCCGCUUCGCGUACCUUGGAAAUAAGCUCAUCGUGUUUGGCCAGGUGUGCACGGCAGUGGACACAGCUGUAAGUGCGGUGACAGCGGGGCAGAUAGCUGCGGAAAGUCUUGGUGGGGAGGCAGGCAGGGCCCGGACCGGGGUCACAGCUGGGCAUGACGGGCUGGAGGACAAUGCCCUGGUGGGCUGGAGGGGCUGGCGCCGUGCAGCCCCCGCAGAGACGGUCGCAGGUGAAGCAGCGGAGCAGGUUGGCUAGAGCCGUGUUUCAGGGCAGGAGAAGUGUUGGGGGGCUGCCCGGCCAGGGCCCCCCCAGACGAGAACCAGAUAGAAAUAGAAGUCACCUGGGAAGAGGGGAAAGGACAUCAGGGGAGCUGCGACCUCAGGAGGACCCCUCCUGAGGGAAUGGAGGAAAAGGGAAUCAGCUCACCCAUACCUCUACUUUCCCCAUCACCAUCGACCCCCCCACAGCAUCCAGUUGCAUUGUCGCCCUGUCCCCUGGAUCCCCAUUCUGCUCUGGCAAACCUGGCAGCCGAUCCAGGCUUCUGGCGCCAAAGCCAGGGAGUCGGUGUUUCUCCCUCCUGGGGCAGAAGCAGCCUCCACCAUUUUCCACAGAGAGAAGCCCACGGGCAC